GAUGAACGCUGGCGGCGUGCCUAAUACAUGCAAGUCGAGCGAACAGACGAGGAGCUUGCUCCUCUGACGUUAGCGGCGGACGGGUGAGUAACACGUGGAUAACCUACCUAUAAGACUGGGAUAACUUCGGGAAACCGGAGCUAAUACCGGAUAAUAUAUUGAACCGCAUGGUUCAAUAGUGAAAGACGGUUUUGCUGUCACUUAUAGAUGGAUCCGCGCCGCAUUAGCUAGUUGGUAAGGUAACGGCUUACCAAGGCAACGAUGCGUAGCCGACCUGAGAGGGUGAUCGGCCACACUGGAACUGAGACACGGUCCAGACUCCUACGGGAGGCAGCAGUAGGGAAUCUUCCGCAAUGGGCGAAGGCCGGACGGAGCAACGCCGCGUGAGUGAUGAAGGUCUUCGGAUCGUAAAACUCUGUUAUUAGGGAAGAACAAAUGUGUAAGUAACUAUGCACGUCUUGACGGUACCUAAUCAGAAAGCCACGGCUAACUACGUG
rnacentral:rRNA from 1 species